GCCUGUGGCCAUACCACGCUGAAUAUGUCUAAUAUCGUCCAAUCUCAGAAGCUAAGCAGAGUUGGGCCUGGUUAGUACUUGGAUGGGAGAGAGUGGGAGAGGGAGAGGGGGGAA
rfam:Erinaceus europaeus unplaced genomic scaffold scaffold00441, whole genome shotgun sequence